GCUAAUACCGGAUAACAAUAGAUGAUGCCUAUCAACUGUUUAAAAGAAUGGUUCUGCUAUCACUCUUGGAUGGACCUGCGGUGCAUUAGCUAGUUGGUAGGGUAACGGCCUACCAAGGCGAUGAUGCAUAGCCGAGUUGAGAGACUGAUCGGCCACAUUGGGACUGAGACACGGCCCAAACUCCUACGGGAGGCAGCAGCC
rnacentral:rRNA from 1 species